rnacentral:rRNA from 1 species
UACGUAGGGUGCAAGCGUUAAUCGGAAUUACUGGGCGUAAAGCGUGCGCAGGCGGUUUUGUAAGUUUGUCGUGAAAUCCCCGGGCUCAACCUGGGAACUUGCGAUGGAGACGUGCAAGGCUAGAAUCUGGCAGAGGGGGGUAGAAUUCCACGUGUAGCAGUGAAAUGCGUAGAGAUGUGGAGGAACACCGAUGGCGAAGGCAG